UACCAGCACCCCGAGUGGUCGGGACGAUUAUUGGGCCUAAAGCAUCCGUAGCCGGUCAUGCAAGCCUUCCGUUAAAUCCAGCCGCUCAACGGUUGGGCUGCGGAGGAUACUACGUGGCUAGGAGGCGGGAGAGGCAAGCGGUACUCAGUGGGUAGGGGUAAAAUCCUUUGAUCCAUUGAAGACCACCAGUGGCGAAGGCGGCUUGCCAGAACGCGCUCGACGGUGAGGGAUGAAAGCUGGGGGAGCAAACCGG
rnacentral:rRNA from 1 species